rnacentral:rRNA from 1 species
GCAAAACUCAAAGCAUAGGAGGUCCAGCCUGCCCAGUGACCAUAAGUUCAACGGCCGCGGUAUUUUGACCGUGCAAAGGUAGCGCAAUCACUUGUCUUUUAAAUGAAGACCUGUAUGAAUGGCUAAACGAGGGCUUAACUGUCUCCCCUUCCGAGUCAGUGAAAUUGAUCUGCCCGUGCAGAAGCGGACAUAAAGAUACAAGACGAGAAGACCCUUUGGAGCUUAAGGUUCAAGCCCAACCGCGUCAAACAACUUUCUUAAUAAGAACUAAACUUUAGCGGAUAGUGGAGCUUUACCUUCGGUUGGGGCGACCACGGAGAAAAAUAAAUCCUCCGAGUGGAUUGGGAUAAUAAACCUAAAACUAAGAAAGACAUUUCUAAGGCACAGAAAAUCUGACCAACAAUGAUCCGGCCAACCAGCCGAUCAACGAACCAAGUUACCCUAGGGAUAACAGCGCAAUCCUCUCCCAGAGUCCAUAUCGACGAGGGGGUUUACGACCUCGAUGUUGGAUCAGGACAUCCUAAUGGUGCAGCCGCUAUUAAGGGUUCGUUUGUUCAACGAUUAAAGUCCUACAUGAUCUGAG